AUGGCGGAGGAAUCAUGGAGCAACUCCCCUCCGUCUGCCAAGAGAAUGGCGGAGGCAUCGUGGAGCAACUCCUCUCCGUCUGCCAAGCAUCACCGUGGUGAGGCGUCUGGCAAGGAGCCGCUGGUGGUCGACGACGACGUUCCGGUCCCCGGGCAGAAGCGGGACUACACCGUGCCGCUCAAGGUUGAUAUCCACCUGAAGGAGCCGCUGGAUGUCGUAUGCACCAGCAAUCCAGACGAAGCCGACAAGAUGAUCCGCAAGAUGAGGAGGAGGCUCGGCGGCAUGCUUUCUCAGAAUAUCGGCGUUGAUGUCGAGUAUACCAGGGAAGACAAACCUCCGCAAAUUGCUGCAGUUCUGCAGUUAUGCGUGGAGGAUCUCGUCCUGGUAUACCACAUCACCGCGGCAACCAAAUGGCCCAAGGAACUCGGCCCGCUCCUGCAGGAGAAGAAGCUGUACACCUUUGUUGGCUUCUGCAUUAGAGGCGACAAGAAGAAGCUGAAGUUGUCUAGUUUGGAGAUCAACCCCGACAAGUACGUCGACUUGCAGCGCAAAUGGAGAGUUCCAAACAAGGGAAAGAAGUGGCAGUCUUUGGCUGAGUUUGCAGCCAGCCUCAUCCACCCAUCCUACUCAAAAAUGAAGCAGAAGAUCGACAAGAAUUCGGACCACCUACUAUGGGGGGACAGCCCACUGCCAAACAAGCUCAUCGAGUACGCCGCGAAAGAUGCGUACGUCACCUACGAGGCAUGGAAGAAAAUCGAAAUCACCAAAGAAGGAAGAGGGGAGAGGAGGCGGAGCUCACCGGGGAGGCGCAAGGAGGCCCUGCGACAGCUUAGUAGCAACAGAGAGGGUACGUACACAUCUAAUCACGCGCUCGCGCUGCCCCCAGGGGGGCGGCUCGGGCGAACCCUAGCCGCAGCCGCAACCACCGCCGACCCACCCUUCUCCGCCGCUGCUCAAGGAAGCCGGCGAGCUCGUCCGGCGGACUCAGGCUAUGCGCGACGGCGACCCUGGGCACCAGGCGUGGUGGCGGAGAUAGGAAGUUGGAACGGCGGCUUCGGGGCUUUUCGGCAAGGCUACGCCUCCAUGGCUGUCGGGGCAGUGUGGUGGCCAGCCAUGGCGUGCAGUGGCGGCGGAUCUGGGCGCCCCCUGCCCAAAUUCGUCCUGCUGUGGGUGGUGGCGGCCCUUCGUGUCGCCGGCGCCUGGCUGCGCGUCCGGGGUGGUUCUCCGGUCUGGCGAGUGGAGGUGGUCGUCGGCGCGACGGAUCUGGGUGUGGCUAGAUCUAUGGCCAGCGUUGUCGGGGUCGGCUUGUUCUGCAGCCGGUGCGCGCGGGCGAUGGGUUCUAGCGCCAGAUCUGGCCCCAUAACAUUCGGAGGCUGGUUUGAUGCGUACAGAUGGAUCCGACGGCUAGGAAGACCCACGGACAAGGAGAAAAGGCACCCGGUCUUUCUCGGCUCUGAAUGA
rnacentral:rRNA from 1 species